rnacentral:lncRNA from 1 species
CCCCUGAAACCCCUUCAUCCCCAAAUCCUCUCUAUCCCUCUCCGAAACCCUAACCUUUUCCACUGGUUUCCACCUUAUGUCAUUGGAAACCAUGGCAUCUUAGGCCAUGGGUUGCAUGUACUCACCCCCACGUGCCCUUAUACUCCUAUUACGUGAAGUUUCAAGGUCCGGUCUUGAAGAACCUGGCUCAAAGUUCCUCCAAUUCAGGUUCUAUGGCCAUCUCUGGCUCAUCUCCGGUGUGUCCUAGCACUACGAGUUCAUCUAUGACUCGUUUGAUUCAGACAAGCCCCUUUUCAGGCCUUUCUCAUCAUCUAGGGUUUCUCUGAAACCCCAAGCCAUUUCGAGGUUUUCUUGUUUCUCUCUAGAUCUGCUUUAGGUCCGUGCUAUUUCUGAGGUUUUCAAAGUAUUUCUAACAUCAUUUCAAGUUUUUGCUUUCAAAACUGUCUGUCUUCUUGAACCUAGGGUUUCCUUGAUUUUUACUUGUUCUACCAUGAUUUAUUAUGUUAUUUUACUGUAUCUUGCUUUACGGUAACUCCAAAGAGUUGUCACCAUGAUUUCCAUGAGUUUUCUUUCAUUGUGAUUCCUCUUAGUGAUUUCUUUUACUGUGUUUUCUUUCAUUAUGCUUCCAUGAAAUGCUAAUGUUCUUUGGACUUUUUGAGUUUAUUUUGCCUAAUUAUCUAUGCUUUUGUCUUUACAAUCCGUGCUAUUUCUGAGGUUUUCAAAGCAUUUCUUACAUCAUUUCAAGUUUUUGCUUUCAAAACUGUCCGUCUUCUCAAACCUAGGGUUCCCUUGAUUUUUACUUGUUCUACUGUGACUUCUAACGUUACAUUACAGUAUCUUGCGUUACUGUAACUCCUAAGUGUUGUCACCAUGAUUUCCAUGAGUUUUCUUUUACUGUGAUUCCUCACAGGGUUUCCUAGUAAUUUCUUUUACUGUGCUUUCUUUCAUUUUGCUUCCAUGAAAUGUGUAUGUUCCUUAGACUUCCUGAGUUUACUUUGCUCGAUUUUCUAUGCUUUCAUCUUUAAAUUUAAUAUGUGGAGGAAACCCUAGGUUAUUGGGGGUUUCACACCACUUAUGUGCAAUUGGGUUGCUUCCUGUUUGAUUUAGAAACCCCAAUUUCUAAAAUUCGUCCCAUUUUCUCUGAUUCUUGUUAAGCUUUGCAAGACCUUUUGCCUUCUCUCAUAGCUAUGUUCUUCUACUUUUGAUUUCAUGACCACUCGAUUGUUUAAUUCUAGCCUUGAAUGUCUUUAUAGUCAGACGUUUUCCCCUCAGAAUAACCUUAAUUUUUGGGGAUUGAUUUCAAACUACUAUUAUGUGAGCUUAUUUGAUUCUUCCCUUGUCCAAUUUGGAUCUGUUUUCUAACUUGAUUCAUUAUUGAGUUUGAAUCUUUAAUUCCUUGAUAUACUAUGUGUUAGUUGAUUUUAUUCUUACCUUAUUUACCUGAACCGCGUAUUUGAAAAACUUCUCUUAUGUAUUUACCCUUUAUUGCACAAUGUGCUAUUGAUUUUCCUUCCUUAAAUAAAAACCUGCCCUAUACUAUUCAAUGUCGACUCCUUAGUUAAAGGAAUUCCUUUCUCCUGAUUAAUUCUGAUUGAUACUGAAUUAUUUUUUGCCUUGCUUAUUUACCUGGUUUCAAACUAUGAAUACCCUACUCUUUUUCUUUAAACACACGAACAAUUGGGUUCAAACACACACACACUCAAAGCUUCUCUUCUGUGCUUUCUACUGAGCAUUCUAUACUGCCUGCUGCUUGAACUCCUACACAUUUGGGAGUUUUCAUGAGUCUGUUCCUAUUUAUUUCUGGUUGUCUGUCGGCUGCUAUUAGUCUGCUAUUCUAGAAUUAUAACGGGUAUGCCCUUCUAUGUUCUAUAAGCAUCCUUAUUCAAUUUCUCUGCUUCUAUCCCUUUCUUUGUGUGUUCAUUUAUGCUUUCCUGCACUAUUUAAUUACUUUCAAGCAUGUUAAUUCCUUUUCCCUAUUCCCUUUGUAUGUGAGUUUGUCCUUGGUCAUAACAACAUUAUGAAUUGGUGUAUGUGAUUCAGGACUAGACUCUUUUGAGUCUCUACUCAAUUGCUUUCCCAUUCCCUUUUCCCCAAUGUGCUGAGCUCUAACUUGGGUCUGUUGGUGUCCUGAUCAUCAUCCAGGCCUGAGUUUGACUCUUUAAGAGUCUACUCUUAUUUGUCUGAAUCUGAGUGGGAGGUUAGGGGUGUGCCAGUCUAUGCCAUGACUGGGUAUGACCACCUUCUGCUGAGGUUUCUCUCUCACUUAACACCUACUCCUAGUUCUUAAGUUCUACCCCCUAGGGUAAGCCAUGCUUAGGGACCCUAGAGUUCCCUCUGAACUUGGAUGCCUAAGGGCUGGUAA